CGGAGAGGGUAUUUUGAAGUUCGAAACAAUUCGUCAUUGCAUCACACAGAAGAGACCUCCGUUAUCAAAAUAUUGCACUCUGGAUAAAAUAGCCGAGGGUGAUCUUGAUAUUCCAUUAUCUACAAUUUUAAGAAUUGCCGCUAAGCUUGCACAAAGUAUCGAUGUAUUGCAUUGUAGUUCUUUGGAAAUAAAACCCCUAAACGACGGAGCUGUCCAUCUUCGGACUUGCAACAAACGUGUUACAGGGACAGUAAAGGUUACAGGAAAACUCUUAAUUUCAUUUAAGCCUGAAGGAAAAUCUACCAACAUUAACGAGCUUGGGAUAAUUUUGAAGAGUCUGAUUAAUGCUAAAAUGAAGAAACGUUUGCAACAGUUUUAAAGUGUCCAACACACUGUUUAUCGUCUCCCCGAUCCUAGUAAACUACUUUAUUCUCCGCGCCUGCCAAGCAGGAAAGGAAUCAAACAGCAGAACAGAAGGCAAUUUGUGUCGGACAUCACUUUGAAAAUUCCUUCGUUUUCAGUUUGAUGAAUGCGCCGGAAAGAAGGUUAUCUUUUUCGCGUGUAAUAAUUUUAUUAUAUUUUAUUUUAAAUAUUGAUUUGUUAUAUUGUAUGCAUUGUUAUUUGCAACAUUUAUUUCAUAUGAUAGUGGGUAUUCCAACCGAAAUUCGGGAUACUGCUUUGGAAAGUUAAUUUAUGCUAAUUUUAAACUUUUUUAUUGUGUUACUUUUAUUGGUACAGUAUAUAAGUAAGUUUUAUACAACUACUUCUGUAUAAGUGUUGUGCAUUUAAGGAUUGUUGUAUGUUGUGUAUCAAUUUUUACCAUGUCGUUGUUUCUGUGUAUUAAACUCACUCUGCAACUCUUUAAAGGUACAAGACUCUUUCAUCUUAAUGUAGACAUGGCUAUGCCCAUUCCUCUUUCGGUAAUCAUGGCUAUGCCCAUUUCGGUUAUCAACACUGAACUUAUUACACAGUACGUACGUCUGGAACAAACAUCCAUAAACAGUCUUACAUUUUUAGUUUUAUACUUUGAUUAUUUUUUUAAGGUAAGUAUUUAUGUGUUUAAUGUUUGAUAUGCAUAAUUAUAGUCAAACUUUUACAAAUGUCACCUAACAAUAAGGCACAAAAACUGGCCUUUGAACCAAGGUGACUUGCAUUUUAAAGUUUCCUUGACCUUUGACCUUUAGCAAUAUCAGAACAACGGUCUUUCUUGAGAGGUGGCUGAUUGCACAACAUUGACCGUUUGUCUUUCCAAAAUACCAGUUGAUCAGUAUAUGACUGUAUUAUAGUGGUAAAGGUGUUUAUAGUAGUGAACUGUUUAGUCAAUAUCCAUUGCUGCGUAUUCAGAAGCUGUUUUCCUAAGGAGGAGGUGAAGAAAACAACAACAACAACCAACGUAUUCGUCAACAUAUAACACUUGGGUUAUAAUUUACUUGUUCCUUUUAAACUGUGAGUUUCAUGCCCCUAGGCGGGAUAACAUGAUGUUUGUUGUGUUUCAUUCAUUGUACAUCUUAGACCUUCCUCAUCAUAUAACUUGAAAGUAUCAUAUAGAGCCCACAUUCCUGAUUAGACAGGCUUGAUAACAUCUGAGCUAAGUUUGAAACUCCAUCAUUUCGGACGAACAACUAUGUAAGUCUGAAUUUAAACACAACAUUGUGUAUACAAUGCGUUUCAUUCCAUAUACUGAAACUUAGAGGUUAAUUUCGCAUAUGGGUCAAGAUCAGUCAAUAAUUAGGUCACUAAAUACAACAAUAAAAAUCCUGCUCACACUACAAAGGCAAUGUGUUUUCUCCAAAAUUCAUGAAACCCCACCAGACUACUUGUUUGCCUAGGGUAUACAACAAUGACACAAGUAACGUUAUAUCACCUCCUGUUCUAUCAGUACUACGUACACUGCUUUGAUUGGCGCGGAGUUUCCUUUCUUACUUGUAGAUAAUGUAGCAAAAAUGAUUUGUAUGCUUGUUGGGGACCGAACUUUUGUGAAUUUGGUGCAUGUUCCUCAAAUUUAUCUUUUUUUAUUUAUGAAUGUUGUAAUGUAUUUGUUCUUCUAAUUUAUCAUUUUAAACAUUGUUACAAACAUUUUAUAAUUAGUCCUUUUAUUCGUACUCAAAAUUUUCACAUUAUUCCGCUUAUGAUAAUUUGAUUUAUAUAUUACUUUGCACAAAUACUCGCCAUGAUGAGACGACGUGUUAUGCGCAAAACCCUAGCUCAAAUGUCAAGGUCACAAUUUGAGGUCAACAGGCUUUUUUUCCUGUACGAUCCAUAACUCUGUCAUCCAUCAAGGGAUUACAAUAUUACUUGGCAUAAAUAUUCCCCAUGAUGAGAUACCUAGCUUAAAGGUCAAGGUCAAGGUCACAUGUUGAGAUCAAAUGUCAAUAGGAUUUUUUUCCUGUCCGGUCUAUAACUUUGUCAUGCAAAACAAGAUUUAAAUAUCAGUUCACACAAAUAUUUCUCUGGAUGAGACAAUAUGUCAGGCACGAAACCCGGGUCCUUAGCUGAAAGGUCAAAGUCACACUUGGAAGUCAAAGGCCAAAAGGGUUUUUUUUUCCUGUCCAGUCUGUAACUCAACAAUCCUUAAAGGGAUUUUAAUAUUACUUGGCACACAUGUUCAACACUAUGAGACAGAGUGUCAUGCGCAAGAACCAGGUCCGUAGAUCUAAUGUCAAGGUCACACUUAGAGGCCAAAUGUCAGAUACAAGAAUGACUUUGUCCGGAGCAUUUCUUCUUCAUGCAUGGAGGGAUUUUAAAGUAACUAGGCACAAAUGUUCACCAUCAUGAGUCGGAUUGUCAUGCGCAAGAACCAGGUCCCUAGGUCUAAGGUCAAUGUCACACUUAGAGGUCAAAGGUCAAAUUCAAGAAUGACUUUGUCCGGAGCAUUUCCUCUUCAUGCAUGGAGGGAUUUUGAUGUUACUUGGCACAAAUGUUCAUCACCAUGAGGCUCCCUUCUUGUUAGAAUUACUUUUCUUUGUGUUACUUUAAAUAGCUUAUAUUGUAACUUUUUACUACAGGCCGUAGGAAAAAAUCGACACCACUUUUCUGUGGUACAAUAUGCAUGUUACAUCCAAUUUUUAGGUAUAUUUUGACCUAUCUCUACCUGGUAAAGAGUUUUAUGUGGACUUAUAUUAUAUAGAUGUUUUUUUUUAUUGUUUUACUUCCCUUUUUUGUUACUAUAAAUAUCAGUAGGUGCCUUCUAGUAGUGUCUUUGUAUUGCAUGGCAAUACUUCAUUCACUUGUUGUUAUUGUUAUAGUAGCAUUUUAUUAAACUGCGUAAAUUGUAAUUAAUAUGUCUUCAUGGUAGCUUUAAAUUAUUUCACAACAUUGUGUCCGCAAAUGUACCACGAUGAUCUAUAAGCUCAUUGAUGUACUACUUUAGGAAAAAAGUUUAGGAAAACAAGAAGAGGCUGUUCUAUCGAAUACAAUCUUGCUAUGAUAGUCUUUACCUGAGUAUGACUAAUUCUGUACUGGUGAAAACAUGUAACGAAUUGUUCUAUUAAUAAUCUGACCAUGAAAUGAUUUUUUCAUUCAUUGUUCCGCCUGUGUAUUCCUUUAAGACUAUUUCAUGAUAUACAUUGUACUUUGAACAGUUUCAAUGACGACGAAUAUGUAAGCUAAGAAUAAUAUAUAGUAGAUUCAAAUUAACGCAUUGCAUCGUUUGUUUAACGUUAUAUGAUGAGUUCUAGCUUCUUAGCAUAUGUUCUGUCGGAGGAAUAUAUGUUUCUAUCGUGUUAUGUUUAUCAAAAUGGUUACUCGUAACAAAGGCAAAGGUGUCAAAUGCGAUAUAUUUUUUGGAACUCGUACAUGUACGAUUGCUUUCUGUAAUUCAAUAAAUGUUUGGUGUGUCAAAAUCCGGAACAUUACAAAUUGUUCACAAAAAUAGCCUAACAUAUUCAACUGUUUUGGAUUACAGUUAUUUAUCUAAAAAAUGGAGGCGCUCAUUUCUGUGCGCAGAGAAUUUUACAUUAAAUAUUACGAGUACACGAACGAGUACCAAAUUGCAACCACUCUAUUAUUUCUUAAACUUUUAUGCUGAUAUAGUCCUUUUUGUACUUUAUGUAGUUGUUGUAAUAAAUAA